rnacentral:rRNA from 1 species
AACGAACGCUGGCGGCAUGCCUAACACAUGCAAGUCGAACGAGACCUUCGGGCUUAGUGGCGCACGGGUGCGUAACGCGUGGGAACCUGCCCUUAGGUUCGGAAUAACUCCCCGAAAGGGGUGCUAAUACCGGAUAAUGUCUUCGGACCAAAGAUUUAUCGCGUUUGGAUGGGCUCGCGUUGGAUUAGUUUGUUGGUAGGGUAAAAGCCUACCAAGGCGACGUUCCAUAGCUGGUCUGAGAGGAUGAUCAGCCACACUGGGACUGAGACACGGCCCAGACUCCUACGGGAGGCAGCAGUGGGGAAUAUUGGACAAUGGGCGAAGGCCUGAUCCAGCACUGCCGCGUGAGUGAUGAAGGCCUUAGGGUUGUAAAGCUCUUUUACCCGGGAUGAUAAUGACAGUACCGGGAGAAUAAGCUCCGGCUAACUCCGUG